rnacentral:rRNA from 1 species
UACGGGGGGGGGCAAGCGUUGUUCGGAAUUACUGGGCGUAAAGGGCGCGUAGGCGGCCUCUUAAGUCGAACGUGAAAUCCCCGGGCUCAACCCGGGAACUGCGUCCGAUACUGGGAGGCUUGAAUCCGGGAGAGGGAUGUGGAAUUCCAGGUGUAGCGGUGAAAUGCGUAGAUAUCGGGAGGAACACCAGUGGCGAAGGCGGAACUCUGGGCCGGAACUGACGCUGAGGAGCGAAAGCGUGGGGAGCGAACAGG